rnacentral:rRNA from 1 species
GAUGAACGCUGGCGGCGUGCCUAAUACAUGCAAGUCGAGCGAACAGACGAGGAGCUUGCUCCUCUGACGUUAGCGGCGGACGGGUGAGUAACACGUGGAUAACCUACCUAUAAGACUGGGAUAACUUCGGGAAACCGGAGCUAAUACCGGAUAAUAUAUUGAACCGCAUGGUUCAAUAGUGAAAGACGGUUUUGCUGUCACUUAUAGAUGGGUCCGCGCCGCAUUAGCUAGUUGGUAAGGCAACGGCUUACCAAGGCAACGAUGCGUAGCCGACCUGAGAGGGUGAUCGGCCACACUGGAACUGAGACACGGUCCAGACUCCUACGGGAGGCAGCAGUAGGGAAUCUUCCGCAAUGGGCGAAAGCCUGACGGAGCAACGCCGCGUGAGUGAUGAAGGUCUUCGGAUCGUAAAACUCUGUUAUUAGGGAAGAACAAAUGUGUAAGUAACUAUGCACGUCUUGACGGUACCUAAUCAGAAAGCCACGGCUAACUACGUG